GGGUUGUGAGGUUAAGCGACUAAGCGUACACGGUGGAUGCCCUGGCAGUCAGAGGCGAUGAAGGACGUGCUAAUCUGCGAUAAGCGUCGGUAAGGUGAUAUGAACCGUUAUAACCGGCGAUUUCCGAAUGGGGAAACCCAGUGUGUUUCGACACACUAUCAUUAACUGAAUCCAUAGGUUAAUGAGGCGAACCGGGGGAACUGAAACAUCUAAGUACCCCGAGGAAAAGAAAUCAACCGAGAUUCCCCCAGUAGCGGCGAGCGAACGGGGAGCAGCCCAGAGCCUGAAUCAGUGUGUGUGUUAGUGGAAGCGUCUGGAAAGGCGCGCGAUACAGGGUGACAGCCCCGUACACAAAAAUGCACAUACUGUGAGCUCGAUGAGUAGGGCGGGACACGUGGUAUCCUGUCUGAAUAUGGGGGGACCAUCCUCCAAGGCUAAAUACUCCUGACUGACCGAUAGUGAACCAGUACCGUGAGGGAAAGGCGAAAAGAACCCCGGCGAGGGGAGUGAAAAAGAACCUGAAACCGUGUACGUACAAGCAGUGGGAGCACGCUUAGGCGUGUGACUGCGUACCUUUUGUAUAAUGGGUCAGCGACUUAUAUUCUGUAGCAAGGUUAACCGAAUAGGGGAGCCGAAGGGAAACCGAGUCUUAACUGGGCGUUAAGUUGCAGGGUAUAGACCCGAAACCCGGUGAUCUAGCCAUGGGCAGGUUGAAGGUUGGGUAACACUAACUGGAGGACCGAACCGACUAAUGUUGAAAAAUUAGCGGAUGACUUGUGGCUGGGGGUGAAAGGCCAAUCAAACCGGGAGAUAGCUGGUUCUCCCCGAAAGCUAUUUAGGUAGCGCCUCGUGAAUUCAUCUCCGGGGGUAGAGCACUGUUUCGGCAAGGGGGUCAUCCCGACUUACCAACCCGAUGCAAACUGCGAAUACCGGAGAAUGUUAUCACGGGAGACACACGGCGGGUGCUAACGUCCGUCGUGAAGAGGGAAACAACCCAGACCGCCAGCUAAGGUCCCAAAGUCAUGGUUAAGUGGGAAACGAUGUGGGAAGGCCCAGACAGCCAGGAUGUUGGCUUAGAAGCAGCCAUCAUUUAAAGAAAGCGUAAUAGCUCACUGGUCGAGUCGGCCUGCGCGGAAGAUGUAACGGGGCUAAACCAUGCACCGAAGCUGCGGCAGCGACGCUGAUGCGUUGUUGGGUAGGGGAGCGUUCUGUAAGCCUGCGAAGGUGUGCUGUGAGGCAUGCUGGAGGUAUCAGAAGUGCGAAUGCUGACAUAAGUAACGAUAAAGCGGGUGAAAAGCCCGCUCGCCGGAAGACCAAGGGUUCCUGUCCAACGUUAAUCGGGGCAGGGUGAGUCGACCCCUAAGGCGAGGCCGAAAGGCGUAGUCGAUGGGAAACAGGUUAAUAUUCCUGUACUUGGUGUUACUGCGAAGGGGGGACGGAGAAGGCUAUGUUGGCCGGGCGACGGUUGUCCCGGUUUAAGCGUGUAGGCUGGUUUUCCAGGCAAAUCCGGAAAAUCAAGGCUGAGGCGUGAUGACGAGGCACUACGGUGCUGAAGCAACAAAUGCCCUGCUUCCAGGAAAAGCCUCUAAGCAUCAGGUAACAUCAAAUCGUACCCCAAACCGACACAGGUGGUCAGGUAGAGAAUACCAAGGCGCUUGAGAGAACUCGGGUGAAGGAACUAGGCAAAAUGGUGCCGUAACUUCGGGAGAAGGCACGCUGAUAUGUAGGUGAAGUCCCUCGCGGAUGGAGCUGAAAUCAGUCGAAGAUACCAGCUGGCUGCAACUGUUUAUUAAAAACACAGCACUGUGCAAACACGAAAGUGGACGUAUACGGUGUGACGCCUGCCCGGUGCCGGAAGGUUAAUUGAUGGGGUCAGCGCAAGCGAAGCUCUUGAUCGAAGCCCCGGUAAACGGCGGCCGUAACUAUAACGGUCCUAAGGUAGCGAAAUUCCUUGUCGGGUAAGUUCCGACCUGCACGAAUGGCGUAAUGAUGGCCAGGCUGUCUCCACCCGAGACUCAGUGAAAUUGAACUCGCUGUGAAGAUGCAGUGUACCCGCGGCAAGACGGAAAGACCCCGUGAACCUUUACUAUAGCUUGACACUGAACAUUGAGCCUUGAUGUGUAGGAUAGGUGGGAGGCUUUGAAGUGUGGACGCCAGUCUGCAUGGAGCCGACCUUGAAAUACCACCCUUUAAUGUUUGAUGUUCUAACGUUGACCCGUAAUCCGGGUUGCGGACAGUGUCUGGUGGGUAGUUUGACUGGGGCGGUCUCCUCCUAAAGAGUAACGGAGGAGCACGAAGGUUGGCUAAUCCUGGUCGGACAUCAGGAGGUUAGUGCAAUGGCAUAAGCCAGCUUGACUGCGAGCGUGACGGCGCGAGCAGGUGCGAAAGCAGGUCAUAGUGAUCCGGUGGUUCUGAAUGGAAGGGCCAUCGCUCAACGGAUAAAAGGUACUCCGGGGAUAACAGGCUGAUACCGCCCAAGAGUUCAUAUCGACGGCGGUGUUUGGCACCUCGAUGUCGGCUCAUCACAUCCUGGGGCUGAAGUAGGUCCCAAGGGUAUGGCUGUUCGCCAUUUAAAGUGGUACGCGAGCUGGGUUUAGAACGUCGUGAGACAGUUCGGUCCCUAUCUGCCGUGGGCGCUGGAGAACUGAGGGGGGCUGCUCCUAGUACGAGAGGACCGGAGUGGACGCAUCACUGGUGUUCGGGUUGUCAUGCCAAUGGCACUGCCCGGUAGCUAAAUGCGGAAGAGAUAAGUGCUGAAAGCAUCUAAGCACGAAACUUGCCCCGAGAUGAGUUCUCCCUGACUCCUUGAGAGUCCUGAAGGAACGUUGAAGACGACGACGUUGAUAGGCCGGGUGUGUAAGCGCAGCGAUGCGUUGAGCUAACCGGUACUAAUGAACCGUGAGGCUUAACCUUACAACGCCGAAG
rnacentral:rRNA from 1 species